AUGGUGCCUAGCGCAGGUGCUUGCUCUAGGGGCACAAGGCCAAAGGAAGAUGUGGCUUUGUUUUCACAGUGUGUCCCCUGGAGCCGGAGAGUGGAGAGGUGGAGUAUACAGUUGUCAACAUCAAGAAAAGAAGUGGGGAUAAACCCAAGGGAACUCUGCCAAGGGACAACGAGGAAUACUAUGUCAGCUACUCUGUGUUGCCGGACCCCAAGCCCACCUGGGAGUCAGCCGCAGGAGCGAGGGCUCCAGAAGGAAAAUCCCUACCGGACAGUGACCUUUAUGAAAAUGUUCCCCACCUGUGACCUGCGAGUGACCCCAGCCCAUCCCCU
rnacentral:lncRNA from 1 species